CUUGGUGCCUUUAAGGGACUGAGGACAGAAAUACGAGAAUGUCCCGAAGGAGCAGCCAAUGAACAGUGACAGAGUGCCUUCCUUUGGCCUGGACCUGACCCCACACACCAUGAGCACACUGCUGUGUUCAGCAAGAGGAGUUUCGAUUUGAAGUGGUUUGUCUUGGAAGCUUCCGGGAGAGGAUUUAUUGAACCAACUUAUGAGAACCUCCCAGCCUUCUGAUUGGUGCCCUGAGCAAUAAAGACAAAUAACGAAAGCUUCAAGCUCUGAAAUGAGGAACGUGAGAAGAAAACCAAGUGAUCAUGGAGAUUUUGGAUAUUGCUAGGCUGAGGAGCCAUCACUAUUUCUCAACUUUAAG